GGGGAAUAUUAGUCAAUGGGGGAAACCCUGAACUAGCAACGCCGCGUGAAGGAAGAAGGUCUUCGGAUUGUAAACUUUUGUCUUCAGGGAAGAAAGAAAUGACGGUACCUGAGGAGGAAGCCACGGCUAACUACGUGCCAGCAGCCGCGGUAAUACGUAGGUGGCAAGCGUUGUCCGGAAUUACUGGGUGUAAAGGGUGCGUAGGCGGGUAUGUAAGUCAGGUGUGAAAUUCCGAGGCUCAACUUCGGAACUGCAUUUGAAACUACAUAUCUUGAGUGAAGGAGAGGUCAGUGGAAUUCCGAGUGUAGCGGUGAAAUGCGUAGAUAUUGGGAGGAACACCAGUGGCGAAGGCGACUUACUGGACUUUAACUGACGCUGAUGCACGAAAGCGUGGGUAGCAAACA
rnacentral:rRNA from 1 species